rnacentral:lncRNA from 1 species
UGCCAAGUCAUAAUUCCUUGUGGCUCCCCUCACAGGGGCAGGAGAGAAUCUAAGCUGGCCUGCUACAUUAGAAGAAUUUUCAUGCAAUAAUUUGAAGUGUCCAGACUGCAGAACACAAAGCAGGGUGAGUGAAACUGGAUGCAGUUCCCAAAUACUUCUGUUUUAACAGCAAAUAAUUUCCAAGUGGUCCAUUUCAUCCAAAGAACACCUAGCUGGAAAGUGCAGUGUGCCUGGCUCCUGCGCUCUGAAGAGGAUGCUCCGCUCCGCUCCGCAGCGAUGUGCCCGGGAGGACAGCAGUUAAGAUGUGGGCCUUAUUUUCCUGUCCAAAUCCCACGUGGGAAGAAGCGAUCCCAUGCUAUUCGUUGUUUUGGGAUUAUUGAAGAAACCACUGCUGUUGAACUAGCAGGGGAUCUUUCCUCCUGUGACCUCUGCCAGAGCAUCUGAUUGGUGUGCCCCAGCUGCAGGCCCUAAUUUUCUUGGGAAAGUUUUAAGAUCGUCUGAAAAGCAACCAUCUUCUUUCCUAGCCCUUAACUGACUUGUGCAGGCUUUUCCUGGCCUUUCCAACUGCAGUGUGAAGGGGAUUGUUUGUUUUCUUUUUAAAUGUUAUCCUGCCUGCCUCCUCUUUUUUAACAAAACUUUACGUGAAGACUCACUGUGUAUCGAGCACGGCACAUGGAUGGAGUGGCUGCUUUGAACUACUUUCGCAACAAUGGAUUCUGCUUGACUGAUAAUGAAACCAUGGGAUAGACCUCAGGGAGGUGAGUCAUAUGUUAAUUUGUUCUUGAAGUUUCCUUAGUAUGUUAAAAGCUGUGAUCUUUCAGAAAAAUCUCUUACUUCUAUUUUUUUUUUUUUUUUAAAUUACUUCCUGGGGCCAUGGCAGAUGCUGUUUGGAAUGACACCCAAUGAGUUGUUCUAAUGUAGUCCAGUGCUCGAUUGGCAUUCUCCUAUUGUGCAAAUAUUUUUGGUACUUCUUUUCCCGCAAAGAUAUUUUAUUAAGUGCGGCACAUUGUUAUACACAUGUGGUGCUAUGGAGCCCCAGAAUAUGCAUGGG